rnacentral:rRNA from 1 species
UACGGGGGGGGCAAGCGUUGUUCGGAAUUACUGGGCGUAAAGGGCUCGUAGGCGGCCAACUAAGUCAGACGUGAAAUCCCUCGGCUUAACCGGGGAACUGCGUCUGAUACUGGAUGGCUUGAGUUUGGGAGAGGGAUGCGGAAUUCCAGGUGUAGCGGUGAAAUGCGUAGAUAUCAGAAGGAACACCCAUGGCGAAGGCAGCUCGCUGGCCUAUAACUGACGCUGAGGCGCGAAAGCGUGGGGAGCAAACAGG